rnacentral:rRNA from 1 species
CGUGGUUAACCUGCCCUUGGGACGGAAACACCCCCGGGAAACUGGGGCUAAUUUCCGAUAGGUGAAGGCUCCUGGAAUGGAUCUUCGCCUAAAGGGCGCUUAGGCCAUGCUUCUAAGCGCUGCCCAAGGAUGGGACCGCGGCCGAACAGGUUGUUGGUGAGGUAAUGGCUCACCAAGCCUUUAACCGGUUCGGGCCGUGGGAGCGGGAGCCCGGAGAUGGGCACUGAGACAAGGGCCCAGGUCCUACGGGGCGCAGCAGUCGCGAAAACUCCGCAAUACGCGAAGGCGUGACGGGGCUAUCCCGAGUGCCGUCCGCUGAGGAUGGCUUUUCUCCAGUGUAGAUAGCUGGGGGAAUAAGGAGAGGGCAAGUCUGGUGUCAGCCGCCGCGGUAAUACCAGCUCUCCGAGUGGUGGGGACGUUUAUUGGGCCUAAAGCAUCCGUAGCCAGCUGAGCAAGUCCCCAGUUAAAUCCAGCGAUUUAAUCGUUGGACUGCUGGGGAUACUGUCCGGCUAGGGGGUGGGAGAGGCCGACGGUAUUCCCGGGGUAGGGGUGAAAUCCUAUAAUCCCGGGAGGACCACCAGUGGCGAAGGCUGUUGGCUAAAACAUGCCCGACGGUGAGGGAUGAAAGCUGGGGGAGCGAACCGGAUUAGAUACCCGGGUAGUCCCAGCUGU